UAGGGAAUCUUCGGCAAUGGGGGCAACCCUGACCGAGCAACGCCGCGUGAGUGAAGAAGGUUUUCGGAUCGUAAAGCUCUGUUGUAAGUCAAGAACGAGUGUGAGAGUGGAAAGUUCACACUGUGACGGUAGCUUACCAGAAAGGGACGGCUAACUACGUGCCAGCAGCCGCGAUAAUACGUAGGUCCCGAGCGUUGUCCGGAUUUAUUGGGCGUAAAGCGAGCGCAGGCGGUUUGAUAAGUCUGAAGUUAAAGGCUGUGGCUCAACCAUAGUUCGCUUUGGAAACUGUCAAACUUGAGUGCAGAAGGGGAGAGUGGAAUUCCAUGUGUAGCGGUGAAAUGCGUAGAUAUAUGGAGGAACACCGGUGGCGAAAGCGGCUCUCUGGUCUGUAACUGACGCUGAGGCUCGAAAGCGUGGGGAGCGAACAGGANUAGAUACCCUGGUAGUCCACGCCGUANCGAUGAGUGCUAGGUGUUGGGUCCUUUCCGGGAUUCAGUGNCGCAGCUAANNCANUAANCACUCCNCCUGGGGAGUANNACCNCAAGGUU
rnacentral:rRNA from 1 species